CCUACGGGUGGCAGCAGUGGGGGAUAUUGCACAAUGGGGGAAACCCUGAUGCAGCGACGCCGCGUGAGUGAAGAAGUAUUUCGGUAUGUAAAGCUCUAUCAGCAGGGAAGAAAAUGACAGUAUCUGACCAAGAAGCCCCGGCUAAAUACGUGCCAGCCGCCGCGGUAAUACGUAGGGGGCACGCAUUAAACGGAUUUACUGGGUGUAAAGGGAGCGUAGACGGGUAUGUGAGUCUGGUGUGCAAGCCCGGGGCCCAAACCUGGGACUGCUUUGGAAACUGGGUAGCUGGAGUACAGCAGAGGCAGGCGGAAUUCCUGGUGUAGCGGUGAAAUGCGUAGAUAUCAGGAGGAACACCGGUGGCGAAGGCGGCCUACUGGACUGAGACUGACGUUGAGGCUCGAAAGCGUGGGGAGCAAACAGGAUUAGAUACCCGAGUAGUC
rnacentral:rRNA from 1 species